rnacentral:rRNA from 1 species
CCCUUAGAUGUUCUGGGCGGCCCGCGCACUACAUUGGCACUCUCAAUAAGUUCCUAGAUCUAAAACUUUGGGGUAUUCUAUUAAGUGGUGUCGUGACUGGGAUUAACCCUUGCAAUUAUUGGUUACGAACGAGGAAUUCCUUGUAAUCGCGGUUUAUCAGCCCGCGUUGAAUACGUCCCUGCCCUUUGUACACACCGCCCGUCGCUCCUACCGAUUGAGUGGUCCGGUGAGGCUUUGGGAUCUGAGCGGAAAGAGCGUUUCGCUGUUUCUGCUCGGAAAACUCAGUCGAACCUUAUCAUUUAGAGGAAGGAGAAGUCGUAACA